AACGAACGCUGGCGGCAGGCUUAACACAUGCAAGUCGAACGCCCCGCAAGGGGUGUGGCCGACGGGUGAGUAACGCGUGGGAACAUACCCUUUUCUACGGAAUAGCUCUGGGAAACUGGAAUUAAUACCGUAUACGCCCUACGGGGGAAAGAUUUAUCGGGGAAGGAUUGGCCCGCGUUGGAUUAGCUAGUUGGUGGGGUAAAGGCCUACCAAGGCGACGAUCCAUAGCUGGUCUGAGAGGAUGAUCAGCCACAUUGGGACUGAGACACGGCCCAAACUCCUACGGGAGGCAGCAGUGGGGAAUAUUGGACAAUGGGCGCAAGCCUGAUCCAGCCAGGCCGCGUGAGUGAUGAAGGCCUUAGGGUUGUAAAGCUCUUUCACCGAUGAAGAUAAUGACGGUAGUCGGAGAAGAAGCCCCGGCUAACUUCGUG
rnacentral:rRNA from 1 species